AGAGACAGGUGCUGCACGGCUGUCGUCAGCUCGUGUCGUGAGAUGUUGGGUUAAGUCCCGCAACGAGCGCAACCCACGUAUUUAGUUGCUAACGGUUCGGCCGAGCACUCUAAAUAGACUGCCUUCGUAAGGAGGAGGAAGGUGUGGACGACGUCAAGUCAUCAUGGCCCUUAUGCCCAGGGCGACACACGUGCUACAAUGGCAUAUACAAUGAGACGCAAUACCGCGAGGUGGAGCAAAUCUAUAAAAUAUGUCCCAGUUCGGAUUGUUCUCUGCAACUCGAGAGCAUGAAGCCGGAAUCGCUAGUAAUCGUAGAUCAGCCAUGCUACGGUGAAUACGUUCCCGGGUCUUGUACUCACCGCCCGUCACACCAUGGGAGUUGAUUUCACUCGAAGCCGGAAUACUAAACUAGUUACCGUCCACAGUGGAAUCAGCGACUGGGGUGAAGUCGUAACAAGGUAACCGUAGGAGAACCUGCGGUUGGAUCACCUCCUUU
rnacentral:rRNA from 1 species